UACGUAGGUGGCAAGCGUUGUCCGGAAUUAUUGGGCGUAAAGCGCGCGCAGGCGGUCCUUUAAGUCUGAUGUGAAAGCCCACGGCUCAACCGUGGAGGGUCAUUGGAAACUGGGGGACUUGAGUGCAGAAGAGGAAAGCGGAAUUCCACGUGUAGCGGUGAAAUGCGUAGAGAUGUGGAGGAACACCAGUGGCGAAGGCGGCUUUCUGGUCUGUAACUGACGCUGAGGCGCGAAAGCGUGGGGAGCAA
rnacentral:rRNA from 1 species